rnacentral:lncRNA from 1 species
CCUCCCGGCCGGCCCCCGCCCUGGGGCAGCCCGGCCCUCAGCCGGGGCACGGAGCGCCGCCGUCGAGGAAGGGCGGCUCAGGCGGGGUGCGAGGCGAGCGAGGUCCUGUCCCGCUGUAGCCGGGAAGCCCCGAACGGGACACCGGGAACUCCGGCCCCCCGCCCGCAGGCUGUGCCCUUCCAGCGUCGGGAGCGGGCUCUGGGCAGGGUACCAGUGCCCCCCAAGAACACUUUGCCCCUCACUAUUUGUGCCAGAAUGAAAACACACCAUGGUCUGUCUGGCCCAGCAAACCCUGCCGAGCCUUGUAGAAGUCCUAUCCUCCCCUAUAGGCUCCUUUGAGCCUUGGCACAGAGAGCAUGAAAACGUGCUUUGUUCCAGCCUGGGGGUGACCCUGGCGUGCGACACCAGGCUUGAGCUGGAGCCUCGGCCACAGCCUGGGGUGGCCACCAUCACCCACAACUGUGGCAUUCUUUCAGACAUAACAGAAACCACCACACUCAGCGUGUGAGUAAUUAGGAACAGGGACUCGUGUCCCUCCCUCUCUGCAGUGCUCGUGACAAAGAGUGAGUGGGAGUAUUUUAAUUUGAUUCUUCAAAUGAUAAAAUUUCAGUUUAGUGCCCUAUCCUUGUGGUUGGUGAACCACCUUUGCCUCCCUGGAGUGCUUGUGUUUGUGCAUGGUUGGAAGUCUCAAAAAACAAAAUUUCAGAAUUUGACCCCAGUAGGACCCAGUUGGUUACCCAUGUUCUUAAAGCACUGCAGCGGUCAAAUGCCUGGUAGACAGAGCUGAUGAUAUGAUUUUGAUUAAAUAUAUUUUGGAUUAUAUGUCAGUUUGGUUGUGUUGUUUGCAUUUUGAUUAAUGCU